rnacentral:rRNA from 1 species
UACGGGGGGGGCAAGCGUUGUUCGGAAUUACUGGGCGUAAAGGGCUCGUAGGCGGCCAACUAAGUCGGACGUGAAAUCCCUCGGCUUAACCGGGGAACUGCGUCCGAUACUGGUUGGCUUGAGUUUGGGAGAGGGAUGCGGAAUUCCAGGUGUAGCGGUGAAAUGCGUAGAUAUCUGGAGGAACACCGGUGGCGAAGGCGGCUUCCUGGACCGACACUGACGCUGAGGCGCGAAAGCCAGGGGAGCAAACGGG